CCUACGGGGGGCUGCAGUGGGGAAUAUUGGACAAUGGGGGCAACCCUGAUCCAGCCAUGCCGCGUGUGUGAAGAAGGCCCUCGGGUUGUAAAGCACUUUCAGUGAGGAAGAACGCCUGGUGGUUAAUACCCAUCAGGAAAGACAUCACUCACAGAAGAAGCACCGGCUAACUCCGUGCCAGCAGCCGCGGUAAUACGGAGGGUGCGAGCGUUAAUUGGAAUUACUGGGCGUAAAGCGCGCGUAGGUGGCUUGAUAAGCCGGUUGUGAAAGCCCCGGGCUCAACCUGGGAACGGCAUCCGGAACUGUCAAGCUAGAGUGCAGGAGAGGAAGGUAGAAUUCCCGGUGUAGCGGUGAAAUGCGUAGAGAUCGGGAGGAAUACCAGUGGCGAAGGCGGCCUUCUGGACUGACACUGACACUGAGGUGCGAAAGCGUGGGUAGCAAACAGGAUUAGAUACCCCUGUAGUC
rnacentral:rRNA from 1 species